GUGCUUGUUUCGGCAGCACAUAUACUAAAAUUAGAAUGAUACAGAGAAGAUUAGCAUGGCCCCUGCUCAAGGAUGACAUGCAAAUUCAUGAAGCGCUCCAUAUAUUU